rnacentral:rRNA from 1 species
UACGUAGGGGGCAAGCGUUGUCCGGAUUUAUUGGGCGUAAAGAGCGUGUAGGCGGCCAUACAGGUCCGUUGUGAAAACUGGAGGCUUAACCUCCAGACGUCGAUGGAAACCGUAUGGCUAGAGUCCGGAAGAGGAGAGUGGAAUUCCUGGUGUAGCGGUGAAAUGCGCAGAUAUCAGGAAGAACACCCGUGGCGAAGGCGGCUCUCUGGGACGGUACUGACGCUGAGACGCGAAAGCGUGGGGGAGCGAACAGG